GAAGAAGCAAGCUGCAGCGACACACAAAUUGUGAUGGUAGCUCCUUUAGUAUCAGCAACAAAUCCUAUGAUCGUUGGAGGCCGUCUCUUCGAGACUAAAUAAAUAAAACAUCUCAGAGACUACGCUAAGGAGCUGCUUAUUCUGGCCAACUUAUCAUAGGAGGCCGCCAGAAGAAUAUGUAAAUGAGGGUGGAGCAGGACUUGAAGCAGCGAAAGAUAAAACCAGCGUCAGAGAUCAUAAGAAUCGAGCAAGUGGGAAUGGAAAACUGUAAGAUGAUUUUAAAACUUGG